UACGAAGGGGGCAAGCGUUGUUCGGAUUUACUGGGCGUAAAGGGCGCGUAGGCGGCCUCUGCAAGUCGACUGUGAAAUCUCCGGGCUUAACCCGGAAAGGUCAGCCGAUACUGCAGGGCUAGAGUGCAGAAGGGGCAACUGGAAUUCUCGGUGUAGCGGUGAAAUGCGUAGAUAUCGAGAGGAACACCUGCGGCGAAGGCGGGUUGCUGGGCUGACACUGACGCUGAGGCGCGAAAGCUAGGGGAGCGAACGGG
rnacentral:rRNA from 1 species